CUUUCUGUGAUGAUUGAAACAGAGACUUUCGUUCUUCUGACUAAAAGCUGAAGCCAGUCUUACUGUCCUGAGAAAG